CCGACGCUGGGCCGCGCGCCUAACGACUGUGGCCAGCGAACGUGGCAGACGGUACGGAAGGGGAGGGCCGGCGACGCCGUGUUUCGCAGCGAACCUCGCUGGACUUCCUCGUGGGUGCUGGGCUCAGCUAAGCCAGGAGGGUUCAAGUGCAGGGAGUGAAGAAACUGGAAAAGACAGACACGGCGCCCCAGCCUUGCUCCCCCGCGUUGUCAUGGCACCUGUGAGGUCAACAACCGUGAGACCAGAGGAUCGCCGGGUCCUUUCCUUAGGAUGCAACAUUGAAUGGACCGGAAGCCAGCCAAGGACCCCAGAGGUCUUGGCCCAAUUGCGGGCUUGAUGACCGGUCACCUUCCAGCCAUGUGAACUUGGCAGGUCUCUGAGCCUGUUUCCUUGGCUGUAACCCUCGUGUGGUUCUCAUGAUGAAAUCCUGGCAUCAGGAGCAUCAGCACCCACGGGGAACUGGUGCGCACUUCUAAGUCUUGGGCCUUGCCCCGCACCCGCUGAACAGACACCCCUGGCCGUGGGGCCCAGCACUCUGGGUUUUCACACAUCUCCCAAGUGACUGAUGCUUGCUCAAGUGUGACGAUCACUGGGAUAGAGAGAGGCUGAAACCGAUGGAGGUGCGCAAAGCCCCAGCACAACCCCGCGUUGCUUGCAGCCUUCCCCGCCUCCGUGACUGGCAACUGCAUUCUUCCUGCAGACAAAAGGCCCAGAGUCCUCCCGGAUCAGGGUUCUCCAAACCCAAGCCCGCGGCGGAACCUUUAGUUCUCAUUAGGAGGUUAAAAACUUCUUGUUAUAAAAUAAAUACAUCACGGGGACGUAAAGCGCAGCGUAAGGAAUCUAGUCCAUGAUAGUGUCAUAAUGCCGUGCGGUGACAGAUGGUAAGUGGUCUUACGGUGAGCGGUUCGUAACGUGUAUAAAUGUCGGAUCAGGACGCAUACACCUGAAACUCACAUAAUAUUGUGUGUCGACGAGACUUCAAUUAAAAAACACGUGUCUAAGGGU